UUAGGACUAUGGGAAGAAUAGGGGGAGAUUCUCUAGUGAUGAUAAUACAUGAAUGCUUUAAAAGCUAGAACAGGCGUCCCUGGGUGGUCUUGAACUACUCACCGUUCGGUUAAUAGCCGAACGCUCUGACCGAUUGCGCCACAGAGACAGGUACUAGCGAUUCCACUGGGCGCUAUAGGCAGGGCGCACUCACCGAACUCCCCAAUCCCUUCCAGCCUCAGAGCCCGCCUGGCAGGACUACUGAGCAAGGCCUUGGAAAAUCGGAGCGAUUAGAGCGGUUCAAACAAUACAGAAGUGUAUAAAGUAAGAAUUGAAAGUCUCUUCGCUGCUCUAAUCUCACUCCUCAGAGGUGAUCACUGGACCUGAGUGAGCAGAAGGCUUUUCAGAAUUACAGCCUGAACUAUUUCUUGAGCAAUUUGGGAACUCAUUUCUAAAGCAGUCCUCAGAUUCACACAACGUAGUUUGUGACGGAGUAUGCCCAGAGCAGUGUGGAAGAUGAUCAAAGUAUGACAUUUCUUCUACCCCAGAGGCUGGCAUUUCUGCAGGCACAAAUGAGCUUGGUUUUCAAGCACUGCUCUUUGAACACAAGGAAUUCCUUUAAUGAUCACGCCGGACUAUAUAGACUUUGGAAUCAGACUCUUUGAAUUCCAGCUCUGCCAUUUACCAACUUUGACACUUUGGACAACGUCUCAUUCUGUCACCCAGGCUGGAGUGCAGUGGCACAAUUAUAGCUCACUGCAGCCUCAAACACCUGGGCUCAAGCAAUCCUUCCACCUCUGCCUCCUGAGUAAUUGGGACUACAGGCAUGUGCCACCACACCCAGCUAAUUUUUAAUUUUUAAUUUUUUUGUAGAGAUGGCGGUCUUGCUAUGUCACCCAGGCUGGUCUUGAACACCUGGCCUCAAGUGAUCCUCCGGCCUUGGUCUCUCAAAGCUCUGGGAUUACAGACAUGAGCCACUGCACCCGGCUCUAUCUCCCCUUCCUAUGUGUGUUAGCUCUAGAACAAGAGAAGCCUUGUUGAGAUUCCUGGCUGCCCACCCCCCAUCACCUCUCUGACUUUGGGCAAGUUGCCUGGCCUCUCUCAGCCUUUAUUUUCUUUUUGUGAAAUGGGGAUAAUAAUAGUACUUGCCUCAUAGGCAAAAUGUUGUGAGAACUAAACGAGAAAAUGCAUGUAAAGCACUUGGCACUUAGUUCUUUUUAUGAUUAUAAUGAUAAUCAGACACAAUAAAUUAUGUCUCACAUCA
ensembl:lncRNA novel transcript